GUUGAUUAAAGCAACAAUAAAGCAGAUUCAAAUAAUUAACAAAACUUAUUUAAUCAAAAUUUGAACUCCAUACUUGUCUUAAACUGCUUAACUUGUCAGUUGAUUUUUAUAAAUCAGAAAAAACAGCACUUAUGUGAAGACGACCUAGAAAAGAGUAGAUGGAGAUACGUAAGAGAAAUGAAAACCCGCAGAAAUAAACUGCAAGAAACAAUGCAGGUUAGUAGGUUUAAUGCACUCCUAAGGCAGACUGAAAGAUGGCUAAAAGAGAACAAUUAUGUGAUAACAAGGGAAGACAAAAUGAAAAAAAUGGUCUUGCUAGAGAAAGAAAAAUAUGAUCAAUACCUUCUUCAAUAUAUUCAAGCAACACAACCUAAGCCUGUAAACAAAGACCCAACACCCCAACUAAAAGCUGCCGUUGAUAGAAUCGUUAAUCAUAAGCUUUUCCUGC
rnacentral:lncRNA from 1 species